GUGUCAGAUCCUCGGAGGUCGGAUUGGCACGUUGCCGUGACUACCAAGAUUAGGGAUACAUAUGACUUGGAAGGUGAGGCAAAUGAUGUUCUGAAUCAUGCAUACACACAGACUACAAUACAACAUAGGCAAAAUAUGCAACUUUCAGAUCAUGAAGGUGACACAGAUUUUGUGUGGACUAGAUCAGAUAUAGAAGGGAUGAUAGUUCAGACCCCCAUUGAACUAAACAAUGAAAUUGCAAGUUCAGAUGACGACAAUAUGUCUAAUUGAAUGACCAGUCUCGGUUGAUGAUGAAGAACAUAGUGUUCAGA